rnacentral:misc_RNA from 1 species
AAAAUGCGAAACGUGAUGCGAUUUGCAUGAAUCUGUGAGUCAUCUAAUCUUUGAACGCGAAUGGCACUGUUACGUAAGUAGCAGUAUGUCUGUUUGAGAAUCGCAAAAACGAUCAACUCUAGUUAGAGUUGGGAUUGACCUCAUGCGCUGUUUAUAGCAGCAUUUGGUUUGAAUAAAUCAAGUUGAUGGGUUCCCCAGCAAUGCUCAAUGUGUGCUAGCGAGACAGUCGUCCCGAUCUCACAUUAGUGGUUUUGUUGCAGAGCUCUAAUCACGGCUUGUUUAAAUUUCUAUUUAUCUAUUACGAUCUCAAAUCAGGCAAGAUUACCCGCUGAACUUAA